rnacentral:misc_RNA from 1 species
AAGUCGUAACAAGGUUUCCGUAGGUGAACCUGCGGAAGGAUCAUUAAUGAAUUUGGGUGCUCUCUUUGAGAGGCCCGACCUUCAUCCUUCUACCCUGUGCACUAUUUCUUGUAGUCUGUUGGGGUGUAAUGCCUCAUUACAACAGCUACAACCAUUUUUUUAACACUACAAGCCUAAGAAUGUAACAAUUUAUAAUCAAAUAAAA